GUUGAACGCUGGCGGCAGGCCUAACACAUGCAAGUCGAGCGGAUGAAGGGUGCUUGCUCCUGGAUUCAGCGGCGCACGGGUGAGUAAUGCAUAGGAAUCUGCUUGGUAGUGGGGUAUAACGUCCGGAAACGGGCGCUAAUAACGCAUACGUCCUGAGGGAGAAAGUUGGGGAUCUUCGGACCUCAUGCUAUCAGAUGAGCCUAGGUCGGAUUAGCUAGUUGGUGGGGUGAAGGCCUACUUAGCCGACGAUCCGUAACUGGUCUGAGAGGAUGAUUAGUCACACGAGAGCGUAGCCGCGGACAAGACUACUGCGAGAGGCAGCAGUGGGGUAUGUGGGGCAGUAGUCGAGAACCUGAGCCAGCCAGGCCAAGCGUGAGGAAGAAAUCUUCCGAUUGUGAAGAACUUUUAGUUGUUAGGAAGGGCAGUAAGUUAAUACCUUGCUGUCUUGACGUUACCAACUGAAGAAGCACCGGCUAACUACGUG
rnacentral:rRNA from 1 species